GUGGUCCAUAGUAGCCACUGAUACUGGUUAGGUAUUCCUCUGGGAAUUGUAGCUUUACCUGAAAUGAAAUGGAAGAAAUUAAAAUUGGCCACUUUAGGAGUAGGAUCCUAAUCUAAAACAUUAUUAUG